rnacentral:lncRNA from 1 species
UGUGUGUGUGCUGCAUCUCAUGUAUUGAGUAUGUUCUCUCUGCUGCAUCUCGUGCUUGCAGUUCUCUUUCUUUCACUAAAAUCUUUGGUUUUUGAAACAAGUAAGGUUUACUAAUGAUUCGUUAGUGGUAACUGAAAGAUCUGAACGUUAUUCUGAGCACACCAAUGGCCCAAUCAAACCGAAGCAACUACACCAUGCCACGAUGAGGUCGAGCAUGCCUCGUCACUGUUGUCCGACAGCAAUCAUGAGUAGGGGGAAAAAGUGCUGUCCCACAGUAUGGAAAUCCUCUGCGUGGACCAGCGCUGCCGUAUUGAGUGAUAGCAUCAACGCCGGUGUCUCCUAGACCAUCGCCUAGCCAGGUAAGAUGGAAGACGGUGCCCAACACUAGUGUCUAGAUCCAGCCAGAUGUGCCAUUGAUGCCAUACAUGUGGCACAUGGACAAGGGAACUCUUCAGGGAGAGCAGCUAUCCUACAUCUUUUCCAUCCCUUGCCUGCCUUGUGCUACGCAUCCUUAGUUGUCAUGUCGAUCGUCCCGAUUCUCAUGAAAAUUCAGCAUGAUCCUGCAGGAUGUGAUGGUUGCGAGCACAUCCACCAUGCAUGUUAUAAACAUUUUUACCCAAGGUUUAAGUAAGCAAACUUGAGUGGGCCAGGAGCUACUUACGACAUUCUUCUCACGUAACACAAGAAUUCCCAAUGCCUCGCAUGACUAGGCAACACGACGGAUCAUAUAGAAAGGAUAUGGGAGUAGAACUGGUUGUCCAUCCAUUUGGCAUACAUAUAUAACUUGGAGGACUAUUAUUUCAUUCUCUGCCUUUCACUAGCGCUUUUAUAGACCAAAUGUUGCGUCAAUGAUGGAAAAGGAUGCAUAUGCAUGUACUACUUGAUUGCACAGUGUGGAUUCCAGCUAAAUUAUAUAUAUGCACCUACCUGUGCACUAUAUGGACACAUGUAAUCUUUUAGUCCCUUCAUUCCAAAUUACAUGGCGUUUUGGCCUUAGAUAUGCACUAUAUCUUGAUGCAUAAUACUAAAAAUAAUAUAUCUACAAAAGCCAAAAUCUCUUAUAAGGAGGGAAUACUAUAUAAGCAUUCCAAUCGUUGACACAGAAUGUGUUCAAAACUCAUAAGACAUUGUUCAAAUUUUGAAGGCAUGCAUGGUUACCUAUGGUUCUUGUACAAUUAGAUGGUUGUUCUUGUUUCUGAUAACAUGGUUUUACUGUUAAUGUGAUAUUAACAAAAUUUCCUCUCGUGCGAAUGUAAAUAUUUAUGUGGAAAUUAUACAUGAACCUUUUAUGGCCCAUUAGUACCGUACCAGACAUGAUAAUAAUUGAAUGAUAAUUACAUGGACAACCAUUUCUUAUUUUGUACUGUGCCAUAAAGACCUCUAUUAUUCAAAAGUUACCAC